CCCAUGAGGAUGUUAACAUGAAAAGGGGUUUAAUGCAGUAAAUGUGCUACCCCAUAAUUUGGUGUUCGAUUUUGGAUUUGAAUCGCUAAAAUAUUUUAUUAACUAUAAAGCCCUAAAGGCUAGUUUAUAGGCAAAUAUUUUGAAGGAAUUCUUGUCCCAAGAGUUGAAUCAUAUGAAGAUAUGAUUUUACAAAUUUCGUUGCAUUUUAUUUGACUCGAUUUGGAGCUCUAAAUCAAAAGUUGUAUUCAAAAAAAAGAAAAAUAGAAAAGAAAAAAAGAACAAAAAAAAGAGAAGAAACGGCCGGCCUGGCCAAAGGGGCCGAACCGGCCCGUUCACUUCGCGCCGAGCCAGGCCGUAGCCCAGCACGCGCCGCCCGAGCUGCCCGAGCCACUGCCAUGCGGGCCCCGCCCGUCAGCUUCACCUUCAACCUCCAACCGCCAGGCCGAUUCUUCCGGCCACGAACCGAGCACGCACGCCACGGCCACCUCCCCGAUUUCUCCGCACCACGACCCCCUUUACCGAAACCGAGCGCGUCACUUUAUAGGCCCCGAGUUCCUCUUCUUUUCCCCCUCCUCUCCCACUCGAUUCGCCCCCAGGCUGCCCGAAUCUAGCCGCCGCCCAUAGCCACUGCCGCCGCCGAGAUUCGCUCGCCUCUGGUGACCAAAAGGUCUGAAGCCGCCGCCACCCCCCUUUUCCUUCUCCCCUCCUCUUUACGAAGCUUUUGACGCGGUUACCUUUUAUUUUUGGAGCACCGAAGCCGUCGCCACCAACGUCGCCGGAGCCCGGAGCCGCCACCGCCUUCCCGAGCGCCUAGGGCUCGUUCCCGGCCACCCCGAGGAGAACCGCGGCCUCCAUCAUCUUCGCCUCACCGAGCCGCGCCUCCCCCUCUCUUCCCC
rnacentral:lncRNA from 1 species